GGAGACCGGAACGGAAAGGAGGAAGAGACAGGAGGGAGAGGGAGAGAAGCCGUGGCAGGACAAUAUGGAAGCUGACGUUAAGAUUCCACACUGUACCUUUACAGGUCUCCCUAUAUUGCCCUAAAUAGCCCAGACUUGUGAUCCUCCUGCCAUAGGCACUCAAGGAACUGAAACUACAGGCACUGUGGUGGGUUGAAUGAGAGUGUCCCCCAUAGGAUCGGCUCUUUGACUGCUUGGUCCCCAGUUGGCAACAACGCUUGGGAAUGCUUAAGAGACAUGACCUUGCUGGAGGAAGAAUGUCACGGGAUGGCGAUAGUUAAGAGAUUGCCUUGAGUCUCCAAAGAGGCUUUGGACUUCCUGCUUUUAAACAGUGUCGAGAGCAAAAGACUGUGGGGACCUUCUAGAGUUGGAACACAUGGAAAUUGAACUACGAUGUGGCCACUAGCCUGCAAGGCUGGGGAGUGUGGUGUGGUGCUCUAAAUGUGAAUGUUUCAGCACAGGCUUAGAUGUCUGUAUUCUUGGUCCCCAGCUGGCAGCUUGGGGACAUUUAGGAGGUAUGGCUUCACUGGAGGAAAUUUAUCACUAGAGGUGGGCUUUGAGAUUUCAAAAGCCAUACCCCAUUCCUACUUUGUUCUCUCUGCUUCCUGCACAUAGUUCAAGAUGUGAGCUCUCAGCUUGUUGUUCCAGUAGCUAUGCCUGCAGUCUCCACUCCAUCAUCAUGGACUCUAAUACUCUGGAACUGGGUUGCCAAACACACUUUUUCUAGAAGUUUCCUUGGUCAUGGCAUUUUAUUAUAGCAAUUGAAAAGUAGCAGUUAUAGGAACACACCAUGGAGUAUGGGAAAAACUUCUUAACUGUUGAGUUCAAACCACUAAUAUUCUAGGACACUGCUAAUAGUUUUGUGAGAUCUCUACAGGAUUGAUUUCUGCACAUUAAAUUCAGAAAGAAAACUCGGGAACUGGUGCUCAUUUUCUAUUUGACUGCAUUAUGAAUGGAUAACAGAUUACAAAAUCCUACAAGUCACUAAUGACACAUAUAAGAAUGUCCUCUUCUAUAACCUAGAUGUAUCACUUGCCCCGUUAGCAUUUUGUCUAAGUUCCGCACCACAGUUACCUGGCAACAGCCAGGUAUGCUUGAC
ensembl:lncRNA